CUGACCCAAACUGACCAAAGGGAUAUUCCAUACCAUAUGAUGUCUGCUCAGCAAUAAGAAACUGAGAGAUAGGGGGAGGAACGGGGCAGGGGCAUUCACUGGUUUUUUUGUGGUUCCCCCCCCCCGACAUUUGUCUUCUGGAGUAAUAAGUACACGUACUGAAGCCCUGCUUCUCAGGAAGUGGCUGGACAUCGCCUGCCGAUGGGAGAGAAUCCACCUUAAUCACAGGCAGAUCUAGACACAGCUUCCAUGACUAGAAUCAACAGAACUACAGUUUUGACGAGGAAUCAUUUAAAUUGUGAAGGAAAACCAGCAAAAAGGAAUGAAGCCAGACAUGUAUGUUUUCCGGUACCUUUGCAGUGAGAUUGAAGCAACCUUUUGGUUCCACAAUUUUCUCCAGGACAAAGGAUUUGAUUCCUGCGCUGCUGACAUACUCAUACACCACCCCAUGCUCCAGAGCUGAUGCCAGCUGGCUCCAAGAUGGACCCGCUGCUGGCCAAGGCCAAGAUGGUCAGCGAUGGUGGUAGCGCCUCUGGGAUAACAUAUUUAAGGGAAAAAAAUUGCUGCGGAAACAGCAGUGGAGAGAGGAGUGAGAUGUGAGAGGAACAACUCUGCAGACACCAAGGUCAGUGAAGAAGGAGGGGGAGGAGGUGCUCCAGGUGCCAGAGCAGAGAUUCCCCUGCAGCCCAUGGAGAAGACCAUGGUGAAGCAGGCUGUACCCCUGCAGCCCACAGAGGAUGAUGGUGGAGCAGAUAUCCACCUGCAGCCCAUGGAGGACCCCAUGCUGGAGCAGGUGGAUGCACCCGAAGGAGGCUGUGACCCCAUGGCAACCCUGCGCUGGACCAGGCUCCUGGCAGGACUUGUGGACCCAUGAAGAGAGGAGCCCAUGCUGGAGCAGGUUUGCUGGCAGGACUUGUAAUCCCAUGGAAGGGAACCAUGCUGGAGCAGUUUGUGAAGAACUGCAGCCUGUGGGAAGGACUCACGUUGGAGAAGUUCUUGGAGGACUGUCUCCUGUGGGAGGGACCCCACACUGGAGCAGGGGAAGAGUGUGAGAAGUCCUCCCCCUGAGGAGGAAGGAGCAGUAGAGACAAUGUGUGAUGAACUGACC